CCGGAAGUCCUCCGUCCGGGGAACGACGAGAUUCUGGACCAACAACAAGAGCAGAAGCAGACAGAUGUUUCCAAGCUCCAGUGGCCAUCUGCUGCGCUCUGCAGAGGAGUGAUCUGCUGUGUGCUUACUCAUAAAACACCCAUUUUGUGAAUGAAAUGAUUUUAGUGGACUCCAAGGCUCUUAAUUUCAUCCUCUGCGAGUAACAAAAUUAAUGUGGAAAUAAAAGUAAACAAACCAUU
rnacentral:lncRNA from 1 species